UACGAGGGGGGCGAGCGUUGUUCGGAAUUAUUGGACGUAAAGGGUGCGUAGGCGGUUCCGCAAGUCCUGUGUGAAAUCUUCGGGCUCAACUCGAAGUCUGCACGGGAAACUGCGGGGCUUGAGUGUGGGAGAGGUGAGUGGAAUUCCCGGUGUAGCGGUGAAAUGCGUAGAUAUGCGGAGGAACACCGAUGGCGAAGGCAAUCCCCUGGACCUGUACUGACGCUCAUGCACGAAAGGCGUGGGGAGCAAACAGG
rnacentral:rRNA from 1 species